ACGCCCGUAGUAUACCUAAGAGUGGGUGUGUAGUAAUUAGUUUUACCAGAGGACGGUUGGCGAGAGUUUAUCACUCUUGUUUGCCUACUUUUGGUAGACUUUAGUCGGGCUGGAUCUUUGGUCCUCGUCUGACAGUUGCUACGUACUUACUUACCACGGUUCAUCCGUGAGGCCCUUGGCUUGCAACUGUAAAUAAAUCGUUGUGCUUAAAGCGGGCUAUGAUACUCUGCCAGAGCGAUUUAGCAUGGGACUGCAGAGUAGCUGUAUUUGAGCGAAGGUUGCACCUCGGUGUGGCUGGAGCUUGGUACAGCGCUUGUAAUGGAGCUCAGGGUGAGGCCCCGGGUACCAUGAGGCUAGAGGUGAAAUUCUGAGACCCUCAUGUGACCAACUAAGGCGAAAGCUGUCGUGGGCCACCACAAGCUCGUCUAUCAGGGACGAAAGUUGGGGGAUCGAAGACGAUUAGAUACCGUCGUAGUCCCAACUAUAAACGAUACCAACCGAGUAUUUGGGAAGACACUAUCCCAGCGAUCUUCUCAGAACUCAAGGGAAACCUUAAGUCUUUGGGUUCUGGGGGGAGUAUAGUCGCAAGACCGAAACUUAAAGGAAUUGACGGAAAGGCACCACCAGGAGUGGAGUCUGCGGCUUAAUUCGACUCAACACGGGGAAACUCACCAGGUCAGGACACAAGUUUGAUUGACAG
rnacentral:rRNA from 1 species